ACAAAGUUUGUCUUACACUUGUCUGUCAGGACACAAACAAAAAAAAAAAGAAGAAAUAUAGAAAAACUAAACUUUUUCAAUAAGCCACAAUUUUGGGCAAGUACUCGGCUAACUGGCAGCUCAUAAACAUACUGUCAUAUAGCAGUGCAUAGCUGAGACAGGCAAACAUCUAAGGUGUGUCAUCAAUCAAUGCUGAAAUAUAUAUAUGGCAACAUCGCAGCUGAGUGACAACUACUAAGCGGCCCCAUGUCAAAUUGUUUAUGGCAAAUAUGUCAAUGGCCCCGCUGCCAGUUUAUCAAUCAGUCAAUUGCGCUCGCUUUGCCCCCAUGUUGAUGUCGCUACAAGCGCUGCCAAUUGAUUUCAAUUCAAUUUUACAGAUUGCAAUCGAAGCUAUUAAAGUGUACGAGCGGGCCACGUUGGGUGCCAGGCUGGACCCAAGGACCGGGCCCUGACGAUGCGCUCCACACGUAACUGCAAUUUGGUCGAUGCGCCCCGGGGGCGCAGCAUUAAUGAGUGGCAGCAUGCAAAGCAAUACAAGACACUGCUGCGACUGGUGCUGGAGUUGGGGCUGCGGCUGGUGCAAGCUGCAGCUUGCCCCCAACUUGUUUUCAGCUGUCUCAUACGUAGCACGGAAGCUGCUGCCUCUAAUGACGGCUAUUACAUUUAUCGUCUCGGCCAUUACAAUAAAAUAAGCAAGUAUUUAGUAA